GUAGGGGGCGAGCGUUGUCCGGAUUUAUUGGGCGUAAAACGCUUGUAGGCGGCCACAUCGCGUCGUGCGUGAAAUCUCCCGGCUCAACUGGGAGGGGUCGUGCGAUACGGAUGGGCUCGAGGCCGGUAGGGGGACGCGGAAUUCCCGGUGUAGUGGUGGAAUGCGUAGAUAUCGGGAGGAACACCAGUGGCGCAGGCGGCGUCCUGGACCGGCACUGACGCUGAGGAGCGAAAGCGUGGGGAGCGAUCCGGAUUAGAUACCCGGGUAGUCCACGCCGUAAACGGUGCGCACUAGGUGUCGGGGGUAUCGACCCCUCCGGUGCCGCAGCUAACGCAUUAAGUGCGCUGCCUGGGGAGUACGGCCGCAAGGCUAAA
rnacentral:rRNA from 1 species